rnacentral:rRNA from 1 species
GCCUACGGGAGGCAGCAGUGGGGGAUAUUGCACAAUGGGGGGAACCCUGAUGCAGCGACGCCGCGUGGGUGAAGAAGCGCCUCGGCGCGUAAAGCCCUGUCAGCAGGGAAGAUAAUGACGGUACCUGCAGAAGAAGCCCCGGCUAACUACGUGCCAGCAGCCGCGGUAAUACGUAGGGGGCAAGCGUUAUCCGGAUUCAUUGGGCGUAAAGCGCGCGCAGGCGGGCCGCUAAGCGGGACCUCUAAUCUUGGGGCUCAACCUCAAGCCGGGUCCCGGACUGG